UCUGCUUACGCGGAGUAAGGACCCCGGCCAGCUUCCUUUGAAGGCAGAUCGGUCUGCAGAUAACAAAAAUAAUCAGAAUCGCUCUGUGGUUGCUUCUGAAAGCACAGCCCCGACACAAGAGUUGUUGACAGGGACUUGGAUGAGUUUAUGAAGUAAUAGGAGCAAGACAAGGAAGAACUAAAAACCAGGUUUGCCAGGCAAUGCAAAUAACCGAAAAGAUACAUCUUCUUACCAUACGGAUAUGGCAAGAUCUUAUAAUCUUCCAUCAGGAAUGAUAUGGAUGCAUAACUCAAUGUAUUAAGAUCUACUGCGAGCUGGCCUGAAGCCUACCAGAGUCAUGCCCAAUUGUUCCAUAUUCUUCCUGGAGAGUCAGUAACCCUGGCAGUUACUCUAGAGCAGUCGAGUAAUCAUCCACCGUGUCAGUAAGAAAUCAUACAUUCAUUUCCCUUAGACAUUAAGGGCAAGGAAGAAGAGAAGGAUUCCAAGUUGGAUGAUAGAGAUUACAUCAUUAUGGAUAAACCCGUGAGCCUGUCCAACUGAAACAAUGCCAAUAGACCAAGAUGAUUCAAGAGUGUGAUACAUGCAUCUCCAGCUGUUGACACUCUCUUCUUCAGUUGCGCUCUCAUAGCUUCUUUUGCCUCUUGCUUAUUCUUCCUUUGGAGAAUCAUUUCGACAAAAAGGUGGAGCUGAGACACUUACACAGGGAGUGGCAUCUGAACCAAACUGUAGUGGCAACAUUGGCACUUGCAUUUGGACAUCUGAUAUAAGUAUAUAAAGCUUGGCAUCUGUGGGGUAAUAUUAUCAUGCAUGUUUUGUCAUUGUCCCCCAUUUGUCCACUCUGUGGACAACCAUGUCAGGAUCAGACUGUAACUAUAAACAGAGCACUGAUCUGGCAGAUGUACAUCCCGAAGCCAAGCAUUGUAGAAAAAGCUAUUUUGAUUUGUCAUGAAUUAACCUGCUAAAAUUUCAGAAAAGUAUUUUAGUCCUACUGGAUCAUAUGCAAGUUUAAAUAUUAAUGUUAAUGAUGUUGUUUGAUAAUGAUGCCCGGAGAGUGCUACAUAUCUAAUUAAAAUAUUGGACUAGGAGGGGGCAUGUUCAAUUUUAUCCUCAACGAUGAAUAUUUAUUGGACAAGUUAUCCUAGCCUCAUAGCUUGCUGUGGGAGAAAGAAUUGCAGUAGGAGGGGGUAUUAAAUACAUUUGAGUUGAGCACCUCUUGGAGUACAGGUGAGCUGUAGAUAUGAAUAUAACAGAUGCUUUUCACUUGAUGAGUGUAUUUAGACCUUAUGUGUGAGAAACUUUAAAGUUACACAGACAGAAAUCAAAGCAUCUUGAAACAUUUCUGAAUAUCUCUAGGGCUGUAGAAGAAGAAGUGGCAGAGCCUAGAGGCAAGGUCAAAAGAAAGAUCGGUCUAGAAUCCAUACAUAGCCACAAACGUACUAAGUUCAACACACUAUGAAUUCUGUUGACCCUUAUGUAACUUCUAGCAAGUGUUAACCAUUAGUUGAGAAUGUUCCUCUGUUUAAUUGGAACCUCAAAUGCGGUCCUGAUUUUUUGCAUCUGAGAGGGGCAGAAGAACACACUUGAAAAGAAUGAUCUAAGGUAAUUAAUUUACUACUAUAAGAUUGGUACAGUUGAAAAAGAUGGGAAUUGCAAUUAUUUCUUUCAAGACUCUUACCUUCUCCUAAGUAAUAAACAUUUUGGGUCUUUUUUUUAAAAAAAAAUGAGGAUACAAGAGGAAAGAAGGAAGACUUCCACUGCUAUGUCUAUACUGUAUGCUUGCUAAUUUUGUUAAAUCGUAAACCAUGUUUUACACAGCAUGAUGACUAGGUUCAUGUAUCAUGCUGAGCUAUAAUAGCAUUUGGUUGGGUUUGCCUUGGUAUAAUGUGUGAUUUGUAAAUCAUAUAUUAUGACAUAGCAUUAUGACUGAACUAGGCUGAAAUGGCUUCUUCAAUAAACCCUAUUUGAAAUAAAAUUUGCUCUACUGUAACCUCAGCCAUUGCAUGGGCCAGUCCUAUUCAUAUUGUGCACUUUUAUUUUAAUUUAUUAAAUUCGUUUGCCUCCCAUCUCACCGCUCUAAAGGAAAUUCUCAAAGUUAGGCCCUAAUUAAUUCACCUCUUUGAAAACAUUUCCUAUGUUUUCACUCCUUGAGGCUGGACUAACCAGACUACAGUACAGUAAAGUAACUAGCCAUAACUCAAAAGGUUUCUUUAUUAAAGGAUAAACUGUCAGCCAUUUAUCAAGUAGAAAAUAGGGUAUUUUCUAUGCAGACUAGAGAGCUGGGCAGACAUAAGCACUGAAGACAUCUCUGUACCUCUCAGAACAGCUGGGAAAGCUAAAGUCCAUCUGUACUACAGAAUCCAGCAAAAAUGGAAAUUACUGAAGAGUGCCUGGCUAGUUUAUUUUAGUUCCAGCCUGGGAAAAGAGAGGGAAUGUUCAAGUGGAAUUAAAUGCAUACGACUUUUUUAAUUAAGUAAGUUUGGCAUCCUUUGCAAAAAAUAGUAUUUGCCAUCUCUUUGAAGGAAUAUUAAAAAGUUUACAAAGCCAAGUGCAUACUACGGUGCAAAUUAAAUGCUAAAUGGUCAUUUAAUGACUACAAAGAAGGGUCAUGUUUCUCUUGCUUCUUUUAUCUUUCAGGUGACAUUAUUGAGGACUUUUAAACCAUUUUAUUUGAUCUUCUUUUAGCCUGUCUGCAAAAGCUCUUCACUGUAUCUGUAGCCUUUUUUCACCCACCUUCAAAUAAACAAUACGUUUUACAAUA